rnacentral:misc_RNA from 1 species
CGCACCUUGCGCCCUCUGGUAUUCCGGAGGGCAUGCCUGUUUGAGUGUCAUGUAGACUCAACCCUCCCGGUUUUUCCGGGAGAGGUUGGACCUGGGCGUCUGCCAUGUCUGGCUCGCCUCAAAUGCGUCAGUGGAUGUCUGUGGACCCACGACUGGAGUGAUAAGUUUCUCUGGCCAAAGGUCCCGUGACCCGCUCACAACCCCCCCUAUUUUGACUCUGACCUCAAAUCAGGUAGGACUACCCGCUGAACUUAA